UAUCAAGUGAUGACAAAAAUAAACUGAAACGUUGUUGUGGUCUAUUCUUGAGUACAGCGAUGUUGUUAAGGGAUGGUCGCAAUUGCGAGGCAUUUGUCUGAUGAAUUA